rnacentral:rRNA from 1 species
ACGGGUGAGUAACGCGUGGGAAUCUACCGUACCCUACGGAAUAGCUCCGGGAAACUGGAAGUAAUACCGUAUACGCCCGAAAGGGGAAAGAUUUAUCGGGGUAUGAUGAGCCCGCGUUGGAUUAGCUAGUUGGUGGGGUAAAGGCCUACCAAGGCGACGAUCCAUAGCUGGUCUGAGAGGAUGAUCAGCCACAUUGGGACUGAGACACGGCCCAAACUCCUACGGGAGGCAGCAGUGGGGAAUAUUGGACAAUGGGCGCAAGCCUGAUCCAGCCAUGCCGCGUGAGUGAUGAAGGUCUUAGGAUUGUAAAGCUCUUUCACCGAUGAAGAUAAUGACGGUAGUCGGAGAAGAAGCCCCGGCAAACUUCGUGCCAGCAGCCGCGGUAAUACGAAGGGGGCUAGCGUUGUUCGGAAUUACUGGGCGUAAAGCGCACGUAGGCGGAUAAUUAAGUCAGAGGUGAAAUCCCGCAGCUCAACUGCGGAACUGCCUUUGAUACUGGUUAUCUUGAGUAUGGAAGAGGUAAGUGGAAUUGCGAGUGUAGAGGUGAAAUUCGUAGA